AUUGAACGCUGGCGGCAGGCCUAACACAUGCAAGUCGAACGAGUGGCGGACGGGUGAGUAAUGUCUGGGAAACUGCCUGCUGGAGGGGGAUAACUACUGGAAACGGUAGCUAAUACCGCAUACCAUCGGAUGUGCCCAGAUGGGAUUAGCUAGUAGGUGGGGUAAAGGCUCACCUAGGCGACGAUCCCUAGCUGGUCUGAGAGGAUGACCAGCCACACUGGAACUGAGACACGGUGCAGACUCCUACGGGAGGAAGCAGUGGGGAAGAUUGCACAAUGGGCGCAAGACUGAUGCAGCCAUGCCGCGUGUAGGAAGAAGGCCUGCGGGUUGUAAAGUAAUGUCAGCGGGGAGGCGUUACCCGCAGGAGAAGCACCGGCUAACUCCGUGCCAGCAGCCGCGGUAAUUC
rnacentral:rRNA from 1 species